ACGGGGAGCAGCCCAGAGUCUGAAUCAGCUUGUGUGUUAGUGGAACGGUCUGGAAAGUCCGACGGUACAGGGUGAUAGUCCCGUACACCAAAAUGCACAGGUUGUGAACUCGAAGAGUAGGGCGGGACACGUGGUAUCCUGUCUGAAUAUGGGGGGACCAUCCUCCAAGGCUAAAUACUCCUGACUGACCGAUAGUGAACCAGUACCGUGAGGGAAAGGCGAAAAGAACCCCGGCGAGGGGAGUGAAAAAGAACCUGAAACCGUGUACGUACAAGCAGUGGGAGCACCUUCGGGUGUGACUGCGUACCUUUUGUAUAAUGGGUCAGCGACUUAUAUUCUGUAGCAAGGUUAACCGUAUAGGGGAGCCGCAGGGAAACCGAGUCUUAACUGGGCGUUAAGUUGCAGGGUAUAGACCCGAAACCCGGUGAUCUAGCCAUGGGCAGGUUGAAGGUUGGGUAACACUAACUGGAGGACCGAACCGACUAAUGUUGAAAAAUUAGCGGAUGACUUGUGGCUGGGGGUGAAAGGCCAAUCAAACCGGGAGAUAGCUGGUUCUCCCCGAAAGCUAUUUAGGUAGCGCCUCGUGAAUUCAUCUUCGGGGGUAGAGCACUGUUUCGGCUAGGGGGUCAUCCCGACUUACCAACCCGAUGCAAACUACGAAUACCGAAGAAUGUUAUCACGGGAGACACACGGCGGGUGCUAACGUCCGUCGUGAAGAGGGAAACAACCCAGACCGCCAGCUAAGGUCCCAAAGUCACAGUUAAGUGGGAAACGAUGUGGGAAGGCACAGACAGCCAGGAUGUUGGCUUAGAAGCAGCCAUCAUUUAAAGAAAGCGUAAUAGCUCACUGGUCGAGUCGGCCUGCGCGGAAGAUGUAACGGGGCUAAACUGUGCAC
rnacentral:rRNA from 1 species